rnacentral:rRNA from 1 species
AGAACGAACGCUGGCGGCAGGCUUAACACAUGCAAGUCGAGCGCCCCGCAAGGUGAGCGGCAGACGGGUGAGUAACGCGUGGGAACAUACCCUCCGGUUCGGAAUAGCUCAGGGAAACUUGGAUUAAUACCGGAUACGGCCUAGCGGCGAAAGAUUCAUCGCCGGAGGAUUGGCCCGCGUCUGAUUAGCUAGUUGGUGGGGUAAUGGCCCACCAAGGCGACGAUCAGUAGCUGGUCUGAGAGGAUGAUCAGCCACAUUGGGACUGAGACACGGCCCAAACUCCUACGGGAGGCAGCAGUGGGGAAUAUUGGACAAUGGGCGCAAGCCUGAUCCAGCCAUGCCGCGUGAGUGAUGACGGCCUUAGGGUUGUAAAGCUCUUUCGCUAGGGACGAUAAUGACGGUACCUAGACAAGAAGCCCGGCUAACUUCGUGCCAGCAGCCGC